UACGGAGGGGGCUAGCGUUGUUCGGAAUUACUGGGCGUAAAGCGCACGUAGGCGGCUUUUGCAAGUUAGAGGUGAAAGCCCGGGGCUCAACUCCGGAAUUGCCUUUAAAACUGCAUCGCUAGAAUUGUGGAGAGGUAAGUGGAAUUCCGAGUGUAGAGGUGAAAUUCGUAGAUAUUCGGAAGAACACCAGUGGCGAAGGCGACUUACUGGACACAUAUUGACGCUGAGGUGCGAAAGCGUGGGGAGCAACAGG
rnacentral:rRNA from 1 species